rnacentral:rRNA from 1 species
UACGUAGGGUGCAAGCGUUAAUCGGAAUUACUGGGCGUAAAGCGUGCGCAGGCGGUUUGGUAAGACAGAUGUGAAAUCCCCGGGCUUAACCUGGGAACUGCGUUUGAAACUACAAGGCUAGAGUGUGGCAGAGGGGGGUGGAAUUCCACGUGUAGCAGUGAAAUGCGUAGAUAUCAGGAGGAACACCUGUGGUGUAGACGGCUUUCUGGACCAUAGCUGACGCUGAGACACGAAAGCGUGGGUAGCAAACAGG